UUCCUGGAGUUGGGGCUUUCUGUAGGCACUUUAUUUCUCCACUUUCAAGAGCUUGGACUUGGCCCAAAUCUUAGACUGCCCAAUCCUGUCUCUAUUACCAAUUUAAAUCUAUGGCUUGAACCUGUGCAUUGAAAAUCAGAUCUAU
rnacentral:lncRNA from 1 species